rnacentral:rRNA from 2 species
CACCGCCCGUCGCUUGUAGUAACGAAUGGUCUGGUGAACCUUCUGGACUGCGACAGCAAUGUUGCGGAAAAAUAAGUAAACCCUACCAUUUGGAACAACAAGAAGUCGUAA